AUUGAACGCUGGCGGAAUGCUUAACACAUGCAAGUCGAGCGGGCUGUAGCAAUACAGCUAGCGGCGGACGGGUGAGAAAUACAUAGGAAUCUGCCUCAGAGUGGGGGAUAGCCCGGGGAAACCCGGAUUAAUACCGCAUGAUGUCGUAAGACCAAAGCAGGGGACCGUAAGGCCUUGCGCUUUGAGAUGAGCCUAUGUCGGAUUAGCUAGUUGGCGGGGUAAAAGCCCACCAAGGCGACGAUCCGUAGCUGGUCUGAGAGGACGAUCAGCCACACCGGAACUGAGACACGGUCCGGACUCCUACGGGAGGCAGCAGUGGGGAAUAUUGGACAAUGGGCGCAAGCCUGAUCCAGCAAUUCCGCGUGUGUGAAGAAGGCCUGG
rnacentral:rRNA from 1 species